GACGAACCGUCCAAACGUUAUUCGGAAUCACUGGGCUUAAAGGGUGCGUAGGCGGCUCUGAAAGUUGGGUGUGAAAGCCCUCGGCUCAACCGAGGAAUUGCGCCCAAAACUACAGAGCUAGAGGAAGACAGAGGUGAGCGGAACUUAGGGUGGAGCGGUGAUAUGCGUUGAGAUCCUAAGGAACACCAGUAGCGAAAGCGGCUCACUGGGUCUUUUCUGACGCUGAGUGCACGAAAGCUAGGGGAGCGAAGAGG
rnacentral:rRNA from 1 species